rnacentral:rRNA from 1 species
CCUUAGAGUUUGAUCCUGGCUCAGGACGAACGCUGGCGGCGCGCCUAACACAUGCAAGUCGAACGAGCGAGAGAGAGCUUGCUUUCUUGAGCGAGUGGCGAACGGGUGAGUAACGCGUGAGGAACCUGCCUCAAAGAGGGGGACAACAGUUGGAAACGACUGCUAAUACCGCAUAAGCCCACAGCUCGGCAUCGAGCAGAGGGAAAAGGAGCAAUCCGCUUUGAGAUGGCCUCGCGUCCGAUUAGCUAGUUGGUGAGGUAAUGGCCCACCAAGGCGACGAUCGGUAGCCGGACUGAGAGGUUGAACGGCCACAUUGGGACUGAGACACGGCCCAGACUCCUACGGGAGGCAGCAGUGGGGAAUAUUGCACAAUGGGGGAAACCCUGAUGCAGCGACGCCGCGUGGAGGAAGAAGGUCUUCGGAUUGUAAACUCCUGUUGUUGAGGAAGAUAAUGACGGUACUCAACAAGGAAGUGACGGCUAACUACGUGCCAGCAGCCGCGGUAAAACGUAGGUCACAAGCGUUGUCCGGAAUUACUGGGUGUAAGGGAGCGCAGGCGGGAAGACAAGUUGGAAGUGAAAUCCAUGGGCUCAACCCAUGAACUGCUUUCAAAACUGUUUUUCUUGAGUAGUGCAGAGGUAGGCGGAAUUCCCGGUGUAGCGGUGGAAUGCGUAGAUAUCGGGAGGAACACCAGUGGCGAAGGCGGCCUACUGGGCACCAACUGACGCUGAGGCUCGAAAGUGUGGGUAGCAAACAGGAUUAGAUACCCUGGUAGUCCACACUGUAAACGAUGAUUACUAGGUGUUGGAGGAUUGACCCCUUCAGUGCCGCAGUUAACACAAUAAGUAAUCCACCUGGGGAGUACGACCGCAAGGUUGAAACUCAAAGGAAUUGACGGGGGCCCGCACAAGCAGUGGAGUAUGUGGUUUAAUUCGACGCAACGCGAAGAACCUUACCAAGUCUUGACAUCCUGCGACGGUUCUGGAAACAGAACUUUCCUUCGGGACGCAGAGACAGGUGGUGCAUGGUUGUCGUCAGCUCGUGUCGUGAGAUGUUGGGUUAAGUCCCGCAACGAGCGCAACCCUUAUGGUCAGUUACUACGCAAGAGGACUCUGGCCAGACUGCCGUUGACAAAACGGAGGAAGGUGGGGAUGACGUCAAAUCAUCAUGCCCUUUAUGACUUGGGCUACACACGUACUACAAUGGCGUUAAACAAAGAGAAGCAAGACCGCGAGGUGGAGCAAAACUCAGAAACAACGUCCCAGUUCGGACUGCAGGCUGCAACUCGCCUGCACGAAGUCGGAAUUGCUAGUAAUCGCAGAUCAGCAUGCUGCGGUGAAUACGUUCCCGGGCCUUGCACACACCGCCCGUCA